rnacentral:rRNA from 1 species
UGGGGAAUAUUGCGCAAUGGGGGCAACCCUGACGCAGCCAUGCCGCGUGAAUGAAGAAGGCCUUCGGGUUGUAAAGUUCUUUCGGUAUUGAGGAAGGUUGAUGUGUUAAUAGCACAUCAAAUUGACGUUAAAUACAGAAGAAGCACCGGCUAACUCCGUGCCAGCAGCCGCGGUAAUACGGAGGGUGCGAGCGUUAAUCGGAAUAACUGGGCGUAAAGGGCACGCAGGCGGUUAUUUAAGUGAGGUGUGAAAGCCCCGGGCUUAACCUGGGAAUUGCAUUUCAGGCUGGGUAACUAGAGUACUUUAGGGAGGGGUAGAAUUCCACGUGUAGCGGUGAAAUGCGUAGAGAUGUGGAGGAAUACCGAAGGCGAAGGCAGCCCCUUGGGAAUGUACUGACGCUCAUGUGCGAAAGCGUGGGGAGCAAACAGGAUUAGAUACCCUGGUAGUCCACGCUGUAAACGCUGUCGAUUUGGGGGUUGGGGUUUAACUCUGGCGCCCGUAGCUAACGUGAUAAAUCGACCGCCUGGGGAGUACGGCCGCAAGGUUA